GACGAACGCUGGCGGCGUGCUUAACACAUGCAAGUCGAACGGAAAGGCCCUGCUUUUGUGGGGUGCUCGAGUGGCGAACGGGUGAGUAACACGUGAGUAACCUGCCCUUGACUUUGGGAUAACUUCAGGAAACUGGGGCUAAUACCGGAUAGGAGCUCCUGCUGCAUGGUGGGGGUUGGAAAGUUUCGGCGGUUGGGGAUGGACUCGCGGCUUAUCAGCUUGUUGGUGGGGUAGUGGCUUACCAAGGCUUUGACGGGUAGCCGGCCUGAGAGGGUGACCGGCCACAUUGGGACUGAGAUACGGCCCAGACUCCUACGGGAGGCAGCAGUGGGGAAUAGUGCACAAUGGGCGGAAGCCUGAUGCAGCAACGCCGUGUGCGGGAUGACGGCCUUCGGGUUGUAAACCGCUUUCGCCUGUGACAAAGCGUGAGUGACGGUAAUGGGUAAAGAAGCACCGGCUAACUACGUG
rnacentral:rRNA from 1 species